GGUUCUUAAUGUUACAGAUCUGCAGGUAAGACUGAGUCACUAUGCAGGGUCAUCAGAAGAACGGACGACAGUAACGCUGAGCUGCAUCACGUCCUGCACUCUGUCCAACAGCCCCACUUACCUGUGGUACAAGAACGGACAGCCUGUUACUGAUAAACUCACCAAACACAACAAACUCUACCUCUUCUUCAGCGAAGAUGCAGGGAACUACUCCUGUGCUGUGAAAGGACGUGAGGAUCUUCGCUCUCCUGAACAAACUGUUAGACAGAACCAAGCUGUAGUGUGGAAGCUGUAUGCUGUAUGGGGAGCUGCUGCUGCACUUGUUCCUGCUUCUCUCUCUUCUUAUCGCCGUCCUGUGUGUUAAGAGGAAGAAAAGAGCAGAAAGAGACAUUCAGCUACUGAGAGAACUUUUCACUUCGUGUUUUAAUCUUCUUAAAGUUCCUAUAAAUCUGUUAAUAAAUAAAAACUAAAGAGGUUUUCUCUUCAAUUCUCUCAGUGUGUUCCAACGCCUGGAGAUGACACAUACACAGCGCUGAACCUCAUGACUGUGUCCCCAGAAUAUGACACACUGCAAAAUAUUAAAAGCUCUGCCAGUGACACUUACACCACCCUGAACCCUGCACCCAUGUGCUCUGAUUAUGAUACACUGAGGAAGUGAAACAACCUGCAACCACAGUCUCUGGGAGUAAGUGUGUACUCUAUAAGUGUGUGUUUGUGCAAAAGGAUGUUUGUUUAAGGACUGAAGUUGCAAAAAGAAUUUCUGUCUCAUGUAAAAGUCAUUCAUUUGUGUCCGUUCACUCGGUUCUGUAAUGUUGACUAAAAUUGUUGUUAAUGUCUUUGUAUUUAGUUAUUUAAACAUUUUAAAACUUUGAUGUCAUUUGUUAUUUUUAUGUCUUGUAAACUAGAACAAAAUGAUGAUAAAGUAAGGAAUACACACCUCCCUGUACAGAAAUUCUAUUUUGCCUGAUGUGUUACUGUCCAGUGUUUAAAAUGUUUCUAUGUACAAGAAUAAAAUUGAGCUUAUGGGCGUUU